rnacentral:rRNA from 1 species
UUAGUGGCGGACGGGUGAGUAACGCGUGGAAAACCUGCCGUAUACUGGGGGAUAACACUUAGAAAUAGGUGCUAAUACCGCAUAAGCGCACAGCUUCGCAUGAAGCGGUGUGAAAAACUCUGGUGGUAUACGAUGGUUCCGCGUCUGAUUAGCUAGUUGGUGGGGUAAUGGCCUACCGAGGCAACGAUCAGUAGCCGGCCUGAGAGGGUGAACGGCCACAUUGGGACUGAGACACGGCCCAAACUCCUACGGAAGGCAGCAG